rnacentral:rRNA from 1 species
CCUACGGGUGACAGCAGUGGGGAAUAUUGGUCAAUGGACGAGAGUCUGAACCAGCAAAGUAGCGUGAAGGAUGACUGCCCUAUGAGUUGUAAACUUCUUUUAUAUGGGAGUAAAAUGUUCCACGUAUGGGAUUUUGUCUGUACCAUAUGAAUAAGGAUCGGCUGACUACGUGCCAGCAGCCGCGGUAAUACGGAGGAUCCGAGCGUUAUCCGGAUUUAUUGGGUUUAAAGGGAGCGUAGGUGGAUUGUUAAGUCAGUUGUGAAAGUUGGCGGAUUAACCGUAAAAUUGCAGUUGAAACUGGCAGUCUUGAGUACAGUAGAGGUAGGCGGAAUUCGUGGUGUAGCGGUGAAAUGCGUAGAUAUCACGAAGAACUCCGAUUGCGAAGGCAGCUCACUGGACUGCAACUGACACUGAGGCUCGAAAGUGUGGGUAUCAAACAGGAUUAGAUACCCGUGUAGUC